GAAAACAUGUGAUUCAAGAAGCCAUUCAGAUUUAGCAGACUGGGCUUCUUAAAGAGACAGGCGCUAUAACGGAGCAUUUCGGACAGAGGGUGACUACAGGUAUAUUAAGACAGACAGUAGGAGAAAGAUAAUGUGUUUUUGAACAUUAAAGCAUGUAAACAUGUUUUAUCAGAAACCCAAAAUAUAAGUGUGAACCU